GUGUUAAGUGGAAAAGGAUGUGGGAUUUCGAAGACAACUAGGAUGUUGGCUCAGAAGCAGCCAUACAUUCAAAGAGUGCGUAAUAGCUCACUAGUCGAGAGGUCCUGCGCCGAAAAUGUCCGGGGCUAAAACACGACACCGAAGCUUAGGAAUCGAGAGAUUGGUAGAGGAGCAUUGACAGCGCGCCGAAGCUGUACCGGAAGGCGCAGUGGAGUGCUGUGAAGAGAGAAUGCCGGAAUGAGUAGCGAGAGUAAGGUGAGAAUCCUUACGGCCGAAUAUCCGAGGUUUCCAGAGUAAAGCUGAUCUGCUCUGGGUAAGUCGGGACCUAAGGCGAGGUCGAAAGACGUAGCUGAUGGACAACAGGUUGAAAUUCCUGUACUACGGUAUGAAAGAAAUGUGGGGACGCAUGUGGAGAGCAUGAGCCGGGAAAGGAAAGACCGGUGCAAGCGGGACAGUAGCCAUGCAGGCAAAUCCGUGUGGCAAUACGAAGACGUGACGCGGACCGAAAUAAAGUAGGGAAGCAUGUGAGCCAUGUGCCAAGAAAAGCCGCUAUAGAUCAUACCGUACCCGUACCGUAAACCGACACAGGUAGAUGAGGAGAGAAUCCUAAGGCCGACGGGAGAAGCAUUGUUAAGGAACUCGGCAAAAUGACCCCGUAACUUCGGGAGAAGGGGUGCCCACGCGAGUGGGCCGCAGAGAAUAGGCUCAAGCAACUGUUUAGCAAAAACACAGGUCUAUGCGAAACCGAAAGGUGAGGUAUAUGGGCUGACGCCUGCCCGGUGCUGGAAGGUUAAGAGGAGGAGUCAGGCAACGAAGCUCCGAAUUUAAGCCCCAGUAAACGGCGGCCGUAACUAUAACGGUCCUAAGGUAGCGAAAUUCCUUGUCGGGUAAGUUCCGACCCGCACGAAAGGCGUAAUGAUUUGAGCACUGUCUCGACAAUGCACCCGGUGAAAUUGAAGUACCAGUGAAGAUGCUGGUUACCUGCGCCAGGACGGAAAGACCCCAUGGAGCUUUACUCCAGUUUGAUACUGGGAUUCGAUACUGAAUGUACAGGAUAGGUGGGAGGCUGAGAAGCGUGGACGCCAGUCUGCGGUGAGCCGCUGUUGGGAUACCACCCUUUGAGUAUUGGAUUUCUAACCUGCGCCCGUGACCCGGGCGGGGGACAAUGUCUGACGGGGAGUUUGACUGGGGCGGUCGCCUCCGAAAGGGUAUCGGAGGCGCUCAAAGGUUCCCUCAGAAUGGUUGGAAACCAUUCGCAGAGUGCAAAGGCAGAAGGGAGCUUGACUGUGACACCGACGGGUGGAGCAGGUACGAAAGUAGGACUUAGUGAUCCGGUGGUAUGAAAGUGGGAUUGCCAUCGCUCAACGGAUAAAAGCUACCCUGGGGAUAACAGGCUUAUCACUCCCAAGAGUUCACAUCGACGGAGUGGUUUGGCACCUCGAUGUCGGCUCAUCGCAUCCUGGGGCUGUAGUAGGUCCCAAGGGUUGGGCUGUUCGCCCAUUAAAGCGGUACGCGAGCUGGGUUCAGAACGUCGUGAGACAGUUCGGUCCCUAUCCGGCGUGGGCGUAGGAUAUCUGAGAGGAGCUGUCCUUAGUACGAGAGGACCGGGAUGGACUGACCUCUGGUGCACCGGUUGCAUUGCCAAAUGCAUAGCCGGGUAGCCAAGUCGGGACGGGAUAAACGCUGAAGGCAUCUAAGCGUGAAGCCCCCCUCAAGAUGAGAUAUCCCAUAACAUAAGUUAGUAAGACCCCUUGAAGACGACGAGGUAGAUAGGCAGAAGGUGGAAGUGUGGUGACAUAUGGAGCUGAUCUGUACUAAUAGGUCGAGGGCUUAACCAA
rnacentral:rRNA from 1 species